CUAGUAUGAAUGGCACCACGAAGGUUAUACUGUCUCCUUUUUCUAAUCAGUGAAACUAAUCUCCCCGUGAAGAAGCGGGGAUAAAACUAUAAGACGAGAAGACCCUAUGGAGCUUUAAACAACAUAGCACUUGCCACACACCAUUAAAAUUCCAGAAUCUUUAAUUCUCUGAGCAAUAUGACUAUAAGUUUUUGGUUGGGGUGACCGCGGAGCAUAACACAACCUCCAUGUUGAAAGAAUCAUCUUCUAAGCUAAGAACUACAACUCUAAGCAUCAACAUAUUGACAUCCAUUGACCCAAUACACUUGAACAACGAACCAAGUUACCCUAGGGAUAACAGCGCAAUCCACUUCAAGAGCUCCUAUCGACAAGUGGGUUUACGACCUCGAUGUUGGAUCAGGGUUUCCCAGUGGUGCAGCCGCUACUAAAGGUUCGUUUGUUCAACGAUUAAAA
rnacentral:rRNA from 1 species